rnacentral:rRNA from 1 species
ACCUACGGGAGGCAGCAGUGGGGAAUAUUGCACAAUGGGGGAAACCCUGAUGCAGCGACGCCGCGUGAGUGAAGAAGUAUCUCGGUAUGUAAAGCUCUAUCAGCAGGAAAGAUAAUGACGGUACCUGACUAAGAAGCCCCGGCUAACUACGUGCCAGCAGCCGCGGUAAUACGUAGGGGGCAAGCGUUAUCCGGAUUUACUGGGUGUAAAGGGAGCGCAGGCGGCAGCGCAAGUCUGAUGUGAAAGCCCGGGGCCCAACCGCGGGACUGCAUUGGAAACUGCGCAGCUGGAGUGCCGGAGGGGUA